rnacentral:rRNA from 1 species
UUGGGGAAUUUUGGACAAUGGGCGAAAGCCUGAUCCAGCCAUGCCGCGUGCAGGAUGAAGGCCUUCGGGUUGUAAACUGCUUUUGUACGGAACGAAAAGACUCCUUCUAAUAAAGGGGGUCCAUGACGGUACCGUAAGAAUAAGCACCGGCUAACUACGUGCCAGCAGCCGCGGUAAUACGUAGGGUGCAAGCGUUACUCGGAAUUACUGGGCGUAAAGCGUGCGCAGGCGGUUAUAUAAGACAGAUGUGAAAUCCCCGGGCUCAACCUGGGAACUGCAUUUGUGACUGUAUAGCUAGAGUACGGUAGAGGGGGAUGGAAUUCCGCGUGUAGCAGUGAAAUGCGUAGAUAUGCGGAGGAACACCGAUGGCGAAGGCAAUCCCCUGGGCCUGCACUGACGCUCAUGCACGAAAGCGUGGGGAGCAAACAGGAUUAGAAACCCGUGUAGUCC